UACGUAGGAUGCAAGCGUUGUCCGGAUUUAUAGGGUUUAAAAGGUGCGUGGGCGGCCUAUUAAGUUAGUGGUGAAAACGUUCGGCUUAACCGGAUACCCGCCAUUGAUACUGAUAGACUUGAGUGCGACAGAGGGUGUUGGAAUGUGUGGUGUAGCGGUGAAAUGCUUAGAUAUCACGCAGAACACCAAUUGCGAAGGCAGAUGCCUAUGUCGUAACUGACGCUGAGGCACGAAAGCGUGGGGAGCAAACAGG
rnacentral:rRNA from 1 species